UCACGGAGACAUCGAUGACACAAGCUGUGGAGGACAUGAAGCAAAGAAACGUAAGUCCUGAAUAUCAAGAUCGACUUACAUCAGCAGAUUAACGGAAAAAGAAACAAAGCUUAAACCAGGUAAUUUCUUUGUACUUGUGAAAAAGACAAUUGUGUGUCCUGCAAAUAAAAUGAAGCACCAGUAU